rnacentral:rRNA from 1 species
UACGAAGGGGGCUAGCGUUGCUCGGAAUCACUGGGCGUAAAGGGUGCGUAGGCGGGUCUUUAAGUCAGGGGUGAAAUCCUGGAGCUCAACUCCAGAACUGCCUUUGAUACUGAGGAUCUUGAGUACGGGAGAGGUGAGUGGAACUGCGAGUGUAGAGGUGAAAUUCGUAGAUAUUCGGAGGAACACCGGUGGCGAAGGCGGCUCCUGGACCGAUACUGACGCUGAGGCGCGAAAGCUAGGGGAGCAAACGGG